rnacentral:rRNA from 1 species
AUACGGAGGAUCCGAGCGUUAUCCGGAUUUAUUGGGUUUAAAGGGUGCGUAGGUGGUUUGAUAAGUCAGCGGUGAAAGUUUGCAGCUUAACUGUAAAAAUGCCGUUGAAACUGUCGGACUUGAGUGUAAAUGAGGUAGGCGGAAUGCGUGGUGUAGCGGUGAAAUGCAUAGAUAUCACGCAGAACUCCGAUUGCGAAGGCAGCUUACUAAGUUACAACUGACACUGAAGCACGAAAGCGUGGGGAUCAAACAGGAUUAGAUACCCUGGUAGUCCACGCAGUAAACGAUGAUUACUAGCUGUUUGCGAUACACAGUAAGCGGCACAGCGAAAGCGUUAAGUAAUCCACCUGGGGAGUACGCCGGCAACGGUGAAACUCAAAGGAAUUGACGGGG